AGCGAACGCUGGCGGCAGGCCUAACACAUGCAAGUCGAGCGCCCGUAGCAAUACGGGAGCGGCAGACGGGUGAGUAACACGUGGGAACGUACCCUUCGGUUCGGAAUAACCCAGGGAAACUUGGAUUAAUACCGGAUACGUCCGUAAGGAGAAAGACUUAUCGCCGAAGGAUCGGCCCGCGUCCGAUUAGCUUGUUGGUGGGGUAAUGGCCCACCACGGCUACGAUCGGUAGCUGGUCUGAGAGGAUGAUCAGCCACACUGGGACUGAGACACGGCCCAGACUCCUACGGGAGGAAGCAGUGGGGAAUAUUGGACAAUGGGCGCAAGCCUGAUCCAGCCAUGCCGCGUGGGUGAUGAAGGCCCUAGGGUUGUAAAGCCCUUUCGGCGGGGAAGAUAAUGACGGUACCCGCAGAAGAAGCCCCGGCUAACUUCGUGCCAGCCGCCGCAGUAAAAC
rnacentral:rRNA from 1 species